AAAUGUUUGAUAAUACAGUACAAAGCUGCUGUAGCAUGCAUCUCUCUCACUCACUCACUCACUCACUCACACUCGCUCUCACUCCUGGUCUCCCUUCAUACAUGGCAUGCAGUCGGUCGGGCUAGCUAAGCUGGAUCUCUGCAUGCACAGCCAGCCAUGCCAUGCGCGGACCCGAUGCAGCCACACAGUGCUCCAGCUUCUGGCCAGCCACGUACGCGGCCACGCCGGAAGGCCCGCAUGUGUGCUGUGCGUACCCACUUAUCGCCGGCUUACUUGAAUUAAUAACGGGGCUGAUUGAUAAACCUAAUCUAGGCCUGGACGACAAUGGCGACGUCAGGCUUGAUGACCGCCGGCUGCUCCGGCCUGAGCAUGUUCUGGUCGUCGCGGAUCACGUCUUCGUCGGCCGCUGCGGCGGCUUGCUCGACGUCGGCCACGGCCGGGAGAACGUCAAUGGGGUGCACCUCAGCGCCGCAGCUGAUCCUCCCCUCGGUGGGCGCGCCGCCCUGCGGCUUGGCGCCGCCGGCCACCUCCUUGACGUGCUCCGGCAGCUUCAUCUCCUCGUGCACCAGCACCACGGUGGCGGGCUUCUUGUUGCGGUACGCCAUGUAGAGCGCCAUCUGCGCCACGCCGAACAAGAAGCCCAGCACGUUGGGCAUCGCCACGAAGAUGUCCUUCUUGAGCGCGCCGUACGCGAACCAGAUGACGGCGCUGAGGACCAGGAAGAAGGACAGCGAGAAGGGCAUGAACUCCACGCUCUUGGUACGGAUCACAAGCCUCUGCACGCAAGAAAACAAUCAAGAUCAAUUAACCCCUUCAAUCCACAAACCUUAAAAGAGAUCUAGCCGUAAGAUAAAAUGGGUCCUUACGAUGAUGCUCAAGGGAGCGGCGAAGACGCCGAGCGCGACGGCGACGCAGAUCCAGCCGACGACCUGGACGCGGAGGGGGCCGUGCGACGCGAGCAUGGUGACGAGGGCGAUGAGGCCGAAGAGGCCGACGUCGAGGCCAAUGAAGAGCUUGGCGGUGAGGAGCCUGGCGCUCUUGGGGGCGUAGACGAGGUACAUGGCGAUGUAGAGGCUCUCGAUGACGCAGCCGACG
rnacentral:lncRNA from 1 species